GAGAAGAGGAAACGUCAGCGCCAAAAGAAGGCUCGGGAGGAACGCCGCCGAGAGCGCAGGAUUGAGAUAGAGGAGAACAAGAAACAGGGCAAGUACCCAGAAGUCCACAUUCCCCUCGAGAAUCUACAGCAGUUUCCUGCCUUCAAUUCUUAUACCUGCUCCUCUGAUUCUGCUUUGGGUCCCACCAGCACCGAGGGCCAUGGGGCCCUCUCCCUUUCUCCUCUCAGCAGAAGUCCAGGUUCCCAUGCAGAUGCUGAGGGUUGGAAAAGCAAAAGCAGAUGUGUGGCCCAAAACUGCUCCAAAGAAAGAUGAGAACAGCUUAGUUCCUCCUGCCCCUGUGGACAGCGAUGGGGAGAGUGAUAGUUCAGACCGUGUUCCUGUGCCCAGUUUUCAAAAUUCCUUCAGCCAAGCUAUUGAAGCAGCCUUCAUGAAACUGGACACACCAGCUACUUCAGAUCCCCUCUCUGAAGAGAAAGGAGGAAAGAAAAGAAAAAAACAGAAACAGAAGCUCCUGUUCAGCACCUCAGUCGUCCACACCAAGUGACACUACUGGCCCAGGCUACCUUCUCCAUCUGGUUUUUUUGUUUUUUUUUCCCCCAUGCUUUUGUUUGGCUGCUGUAAUUUUUAAGUAUUUGAGUUUGAACAGAUUAGCUCUGGGGGGAGGGGGUUUCCACAAUGUGAGGGGGAACCAAGAAAAUUUUAAAUACAGUGUAUUUUCCAGCUUCCUGUCUUUACACCAAAAUAAAGUAUUCACACUCAC
rnacentral:sRNA from 1 species